AUUGAACGCUGGCGGCACGCCUAACACAUGCAAGUCGAGCGGCAGCGAGAUUAGUAGCAAUACUAAUUGUCGGCGAGCGGCGGACGGGUGAGUAAUACGUAAGAAUCUGCCCUCAAGCGGGGGAUAACUAAUGGAAACGUUAGCUAAUACCGCAUAAUCUCGAGAGAGAAAAGGUGCCCGUAAGGGUGUCACUUGAGGAGGAGCUUGCGUCUGAUUAGCUAGUUGGUGGGGUAAGAGCCUACCAAGGCGAUGAUCAGUAACUGGUCUGAGAGGACGACCAGUCACACUGGGACUGAGACACGGCCCAGACUCCUACGGGAGGCAGCAGUGGGGAAUAUUGGACAAUGGGGGAAACCCUGAUCCAGCGAUGCCGCGUGAGUGAAGAAGGCCUUCGGGUCGUAAAGCUCUUUAGGUUGGGAAGAGGAAUGUAGGUUGAAUACACCUAUGUUUUGACGGUACCGACAGAAUAAGCACCGGCAAACUCUGUGCCAGCCGCCGCGGUAA
rnacentral:rRNA from 1 species